CACAGGGAGGUAGUGACAAGAAAUAACAAUACAGGGCAUAUGUCUUGUAAUUGGAAUGAUGCCGACUUAAACCCUCGGCAGAGUACCAAUUGGAGGGCAAGUCUGGUGCCAGCAGCCGCGGUAAUUCCAGCUCCAAUAGCGUAUAUUAAACUUGUUGCGGUUAAAAAGCUCGUAGUUGAAUUUGAGCUUGCGCGAUUCCGUUAUUGGAGUAUUGCGCUUGCUUUUUUGUUACUUUGAGAAAAUUAGAGUGUUUCAAGCAGACUUUUGUCUUGAAUACUUCAGCAUGGAAUAAUAGAGUAGGACCUUGGUUCUAUUUUGUUGGUUUUUGAGCCUUGGUAAUGGUUAAUAGGAACGG
rnacentral:rRNA from 1 species